GACGAACGCUGGCGGCGUGCCUAAUACAUGCAAGUAGAACGCACAGUUUAUACCGUAGCUUGCUACACCAUAAACUGUGAGUUGCGAACGGGUGAGUAACGCGUAGGUAACCUGCCUGGUAGCGGGGGAUAACUAUUGGAAACGAUAGCUAAUACCGCAUAAUAUUGAUUAUUGCAUGAUAAUUGAUUGAAAGAUGCUAUUGCAUCACUACCAGAUGGACCUGCGUUGUAUUAGCUAGUAGGUGAGGUAACGGCUCACCUAGGCGACGAUACAUAGCCGACCUGAGAGGGUGAUCGGCCACACUGGGACUGAGACACGGCCCAGACUCCUACGGGAGGUAGCAGUAGGGAAUCUUCGGCAAUGGACGAAAGUCUGACCGAGCAACGCCGCGUGAGUGAAGAAGGUUUUCGGAUCGUAAAGCUCUGUUGUAAGAGAAGAACGGGUGUGAGAGUGGAAAGUUCACACUGUGACGGUAUCUUACCAGAAAGGGACGGCUAACUACGUG
rnacentral:rRNA from 1 species